CAAUUUUUGAACCAUCUUCUACUUUUUCUUAUUUUUCAAUUUCUCUUCUAAAGAUCUCAAAUCUAGAGAUUCCCAUUGAUUAAUUAUUAAUGAUAACUUUUCAUUUGGUUCGCUUAUCGAUGAAUGAGUAAAUGAGAAU
ensembl:ncRNA K10D6.12 ncRNA